AAGAAUUAAGAAUAAAUACUACGGUGCUGACAAUUGCCUCAUACGUUUUACAAGUCAAGCAGUUCCUUUUUACAUAUUAGUUAAUUGUUUUGAGAAUUUAAAAAAAAAAAAAAAGACAAUUCACUUAAACAUUAUAUCUGUAGUUUUAAAUAAACUUUUUAAAUCAACUGCUUAAUUUUUCUAUACACAAUUCAAUAUUUUUAGUAACUUACAUGUUUUAAAAUAAAUAAAUAUUAAAAUUAAUGGACAAAUAAAAAAC
rnacentral:lncRNA from 1 species